rnacentral:RNase_P_RNA from 1 species
UCAGCCGGCCGGACGGCCGCUCCGCGCCAAUGCCGAAAGGCGGCCGGGGAGGAAAGUCCGGGCUCCAGGACAAACGGUGCCGGAUAACGUCCGGCGGGAUCGAUCCCCGCUUGCGGGGAAAGGCCCCAGGGACAGUGCCACAGAGAACAGACCGCCACGGCGCGUUGUGUAUCAGCCGUGGCAAGGGUGAAACGGUGCGGUAAGAGCGCACCGCGCUUUCCGGCAACGGAAGCGGCACGGCAAACCCCACCGGGAGCAAGACCGAAUAGGGACGGCACCGAGGCGCAAGCCUCAACCCUUGUCCGGGUCGCCGUCCGGGUGGGUCGCUUCAGGCGCCGGGCAACCGGCGUCGCAGAGGAAUGGCCGUCACGUCCGGCGCGCAAGCGCCGGGCCAUACAGAACCCGGCUUACAGGCCGUCUGAUUUG